GUUGAACGCUAGCGGCAGGCUUAAUACAUGCAAGUCGAGGGGUAGCAAGAUUGUAGCAAUACAAUUGUUGACGACCGGCAAACGGGUGCGUAACACGUAUGCAACCUACCUUCAACAGGGGGAUAGCCUUCCGAAAGGGAGAUUAAUACCGCAUAAAAUAAUUGAACGGCAUCGUUUGAUUAUCAAACUUAACGGGGUUGAAGAUGGGCAUGCGUCCGAUUAGUUAGUUGGUGAGGUAACGGCUCACCAAGACAGCGAUCGGUAGGGGAUCCGAGAGGAUGACCCCCCACACUGGUACUGAGACACGGACCAGACUCCUACGGGAGGCAGCAGUAAGGAAUAUUGGUCAAUGGACGCAAGUCUGAACCAGCCAUGCCGCGUGCAGGAAGACGGUCCUCUGGAUUGUAAACUGCUUUUGUUAGGGAAGAAACCCUUGGAUGCGUCCGAGGCUGACGGUACCUAAAGAAUAAGGAUCGGCUAACUCCGUGCCAGCAGCCGCCGUAAUAC
rnacentral:rRNA from 1 species